rnacentral:rRNA from 1 species
GGAUUGCCUCAGUAACGGCGAGUGAAGCGGCAAAAGCUCAAAUUUGAAACCCUCGGGAUUGUAAUUUGAAGAUUUGGCAUUGGAGAAAGCUAACCCAAGUUGCUUGGAAUAGUACGUCAUAGAGGGUGACAACCCCGUCUGGCUAACCGUUCUCCAUGUAUUGCCUUAUCAAAGAGUCGAGUUGUUUGGGAAUGCAGCUCAAAGUGGGUGGUAAACUCCAUCUAAAGCUAAAUACUGGUGAGAGACCGAUAGCGAACAAGUACUGUGAAGGAAAGGUGAAAAGAACUUUGAAAAGAGAGUGAAAUAGUAUGUGAAAUUGUUGAUAGGGAAGGAAAUGAGUGGAGAGUGGCCGAGGUUUCAGCCGCCCCUCGUGGGCGGUGUACUGCCGACGCCGAGUCAUCGAUAGCGAGACGAGGGUUACAAAUGGGAGCGCCUUCGGGCGUUCUCCCCUAACCCUCCACACUGCCACCGACGACAUAAUCCACCCAUUUCACCCGUCUUGACCAACGGACCCAAAACUGCGUCUUUGACUAGGAUGCUGGCGUAAUG